rnacentral:lncRNA from 1 species
UGCUUACCGCACUUCUGAUAGGAAAGGUCAUGAUCUAAUGUCUUAGGUUUGCAUCAAGGCACAAGAGCAAGAAUUACUCAGUAUGAAGUGUUCACUUUGAAUAAGCUGAGAACUCCUGGUCUGAAGGGUGCAACAGUGCUUCUCCUAGGAGCCGGAGCCGCGGGGAAGAUGAGGCGUAGAGCAGCCGCUUCCCCGAACGUCGGUACUGCUUUCGGUAACGCCCUGAGCCUCAGGAGGAAGACUUGCACUUUCCCACUCAGUUAUAAUCAGUUAAAAUUAAAAUACAGAGUAUGACACCAGUGUACAGACAGACCAAACUACCAUAAUGCAUAAUAAUAGAAGUGGAAUUAACAGAUAUUUAAAAAGAAGCAACAUUUCUACGAAAAGGUACUCAUUUAUUACCAUUCAAUGUGGAACAAAAAUGUGAUCUAAAAUACAUAAUGCUUUUAUAAAAUAUGUGCCUUAUAACAACAUGCUGCCAGAUUUUAGUCAGCUCAUUAAAAUGAAGGAUCCACUUGACCUCUUCUAUAAUUGUGUAAAUGAACCAGAAAUCUGAUUAGUCCAAUAAAUUCACGGGUUGUUCCA